GUUGGUUGUCGUCAGCUCGUGUCGUGAGAUUGUUGGGUUAAGUCCCGCAACGAGCGCUAACCCUUAUUGCUAGUUACCAUCAUUGAGUUGGGGACUCUAGCGAGACUGCCAGUGAUAAACUGGAGGAAGGUGGGGAUGACGUCAAAUCAUCAUGCCCCUUAUGACCUGGGCUACAAACGUGAUACAAUGGCUGAAACAAAGGGCAGCGAAGCAGUGAUGUGGAGCGAAACCCAAAAAAGCAGUCUCAGUUCGGAUUGAAGUCUGCAACUCGACUUCAUGAAGUCGGAAUCGCUAGUAAUCGCGGAUCAGAACGCCGCGGUGAAUACGUUCUCGGGGUUU
rnacentral:rRNA from 1 species